rnacentral:rRNA from 1 species
UACGUAGGGACCAAGCGUUGUCCGGAAUCAUUGGGCGUAAAGAGCGUGUAGGCGGCUUGUUAAGUCUUGCGUGAAAUCUCGGGGCUCAACCCCCGAGCGGUCGUGAGAAACUGGCAGGCUAGAGUGCGGGGAGAGGAGAGUGGAAUUCCUGGUGUAGCGGUGAAAAUGCGCAGAUAUCAGGAAGAACACCCGUGGCGAAGGCGGCUCUCUGGAACGCAACUGACGCUGAGACGCGAAAACUGGGGGAGCAAACAGG